GAAGGUCGGGGUCCCAAGACCCCCCAGCGGAAAAAUGGCCAAAAAACGGGUGGGCUAUAGCCUUGGUGGGGGGCGUGGGCGAAGUUCGUCCGCGGGACUCGGAAUGGCCCCAUUCAUGGCGGGCGGCCUCUGUGUGCCAAAUAUAGGCCACGGGCACAGCCGCAACCAAAAAUCAGCCCCCGAAGGUCGGGGUCCCAAGACCGCCCAGCGGAAAAAUGGCCAAAAAACGGGUGGGCUAUAGCCUUGAUGGGGGGCGUGGGCGAAGUUCGUCCGCGGGACUCGGAAUGGCCCCUGACUUGGCGGGCGGCCUCCGUUUGCCAAAAAUAGGCCACGGGCACAGCCGCGCCCAAAAAUCAGCCCCCAAGACCCCCCCGCGGAAAAAUGGCCAAAAAACGGGUGGGCUAUAGCCUUGGUGGGGAGCGUGGGCGAAGUUCGUGCGCGCUACUCGGAAUGGCCCCUGACUUGGCGGGCGGCCUCCGUGUGCCAAAAAUAGGCCACGGGCACAGCCGCGCCCAAAAAUCAGCCCCCAAGACCCCCCCGCGGAAAAAUGGCCAAAAAACGGGUGGGCUAUAGCCUUGGUGGCGGGCGUGGACGAAGUUCGUCCGCAGGACUCGGAAUGGCACCAUACAUGGCGGGCGGCCUCUGUGUGCCGAAAAUAGGCCACGGGCACAGCCGCACCCAAAAAUCAGCCCCCGAAGAUCGGGGUCCCAAGACCCCCCAGCGGAAAAAUGGCCAAAAAACGGGUGGGCUAUAGCCUUGGUGGGGGGCGUGGGCGAAGUUCGUCCGCCGGACUCGGAAUGGCCCCAGACUUGGCGGGCGGCCUCCGUGUGCCAAAAAUAGGCCACGGGCACAGCCGCGCCCAAAAAUCAGCCCCCGAAGGUCGGGGUCCCAAGACCCCCCAGCGGAAAAAUGGCCAAAAAACGGGUGGGCUAUAGCCUUGGUGGGGGGCGUGGGCGAAGUUCGUCCGCCGGACUCGGAAUGGCCCCAGACUUGGCGGGCGGCCUCCGUGUGCCAAAAAUAGGCCACGGGCACAGCCGCGCCCAAAAAUCAGCCCCCGAAGGUCGGGGUCCCAAGACCCCCCAGCGGAAAAAUGGCCAAAAAACGGGUGGGCUAUAGCCUUGGUGGGGGGCGUGGGCGAAGUUCGUCCGCCGGACUCGGAAUGGCCCCAGACUUGGCGGGCGGCCUCCGUGUGCCAAAAAUAGGCCACGGGCACAGCCGCGCCCAAAAAUCAGCCCCCGAAGGUCGGGGUCCCAAGACCCCCCAGCGGAAAAAUGGCCAAAAAACGGGUGGGCUAUAGCCUUGGUGGGGGGCGUGGGCGAAGUUCGUCCGCCGGACUCGGAAUGGCCCCAGACUUGGCGGGCGGCCUCCGUGUGCCAAAAAUAGGCCACGGGCACAGCCGCGCCCAAAAAUCAGCCCCAGAAGGUCGGGGUCCCAAGACCCCCCAGCGGAAAAAUGGCCAAAAAACGGGUGGGCUAUAGCCUUGGUGGGGGGCGUGGGCGAAGUUCGUCCGCGGGACUCGGAAUGGCCCCAGACUUGGCGGGCGGCUUCCGUGUGCCAAAAAUAGGCCACGGGCACAGCCGCGCCCAAAAAUCAGCCCCCGAAGGUCGGGGUCCCAAGACCCCCCAGCGGAAAAAUGGCCAAGAAACGGGUGGGCAAUAGCCUUGGUGGGGGGCGUGGGCGAAGUUCGUCCGCGGGACUCGGAAUGGCCCCAGACUUGGCGGGCGGCCUCCGUGUGCCAAAAAUAGGCCACGGGCACAGCCGCGCCCAAAAAUCAGCCCCCGAAGGUCGUGGUCACAAGACCCCCCAGCGGAAAAAAGGCCAAGAAACGCGUGGGCUAUAGCCUUGGUGGGGGGCGUGGGCGAAGUUCGUCCGCGGGACUCGGAAUGGCCCCAGACUUGGCGGGCGGCCUCCGUGUGCCAAAAAUAGGCCACGGGCACAGCCGCGUCCAAAAAUCAGCCCCCGAAGGUCGGGGUCCCAAGACCCCCCAGCGGAAAAAAGGCCAAGAAACGCGUGGGCUAUAGCCUUGGUGGGGGGCGUGGGCGAAGUUCGUCCGCGGGUACUCGGAAUGGCACCAUACUUGGCGGGCGGCCUCCGUGUGCCAAAAAUAGGGCCACGGGCACAGCCGCGCCCAAAAAUCAGCCCCCGAAGGUCGGGGUCCCAAGACCCCCCAGCGGAAAAAUGGCCAAAAAACGGGUGGGCUAUAGCCUUGGUGGGGGGCGUGGGCGAAGUUCGUCCGCGGGACUCGGAAUGGCCCCAGACUUGGCGGGCGGCCUCCGUGUGCCAAAAAUAGGCCACGGGCACAGCCGCGCCCAAAAAUCAGCCCCCGAAGGUCGGGGUCCCAAGACCCCCCAGCGGAAAAAUGGCCAAAAAACGGGUGGGCUAUAGCCUUGGUGGGGGGCGUGGGCGAAGUUCGUCCGCGGGACUCGGAAUGGCCCCAGACUUGGCGGGCGGCCUCCGUGUGCCAAAAAUAGGCCACGGGCACAGCCGCGCCCAAAAAUCAGCCCCCGAAGGUCGGGGUCCCAAGACCCCCCAGCGGAAAAAUGGCCAAGAAACGGGUGGGCAAUAGCCUUGGUGGGGGGCGUGGGCGAAGUUCGUCCGCGGGACUCGGAAUGGCCCCAGACUUGGCGGGCGGCCUCCGUGUGCCAAAAAUAGGCCACGGGCACAGCCGCGCCCAAAAAUCAGCCCCCGAAGGUCGGGGUCACAAGACCCCCCAGCGGAAAAAAGGCCAAGAAACGCGUGGGCUAUAGCCUUGGUGGGGGGCGUGGGCGAAGUUCGUCCGCGGGACUCGGAAUGGCCCCAGACUUGGCGGGCGGCCUCCGUGCGCCAAAAAUAGGCCACGGGCACAGCCGCGCCCAAAAAUCAGCCCCCGAAUGUCGGGGUCCCAAGACCCCCCAGCGGAAAAAUGGCCAAAAAACGGGUGGGCUAUAGCCUUGGUGGGGGGCGUGGGCGAAGUUCGUCCGCGGGACUCGGAAUGGCACCAUACUUGGCGGGCGGCCUCCGUGUGCCAAAAAUAGGCCACGGGCACAGCCGCGCCCAAAAAUCAGCCCCCGAAGGUCGGGGUCCCAAGACCCCCCAGCGGAAAAAUGCCCAAAAAAAGGGUGGGCUAUAGCCUUGGUGGGGGGCGUGGGCGACGUUCGUCCGCGGGACUCGGAAUGGCCCCAGACUUGGCGGGCGGCCUCCGUGCGCCAAAAAUAGGCCACGGGCACAGCCGCGCCCAAAAAUCAGCCCCCGAAGGUCGGGGUCCCUAGACCCCCCAGCGGAAAAAUGGCCAAAAAACGGGUGGGCUAUAGCCUUGGUGGGGGGCGUGGGCGAAGUUCGUCCGCGGGACUCGGAAUGGCACCAUACUUGGCGGGCGGCCUCCGUGUGCCAAAAAUAGGCCACGGGCACAGCCGCGCCUAAAAAUCAGCCCCCGAAGGUCGGGGUCCCAAGACCCCCCAGCGGAAAAAUGGCCAAAAAAAGGGUGGGCUAUAGCCUUGGUGGGGGGCGUGGGCGACGUUCGUCCGCGGGACUCGGAAUGGCCCCAGACUUGGCGGGCGGCCUCCGUGCGCCAAAUAUAGGCCACGGGCACAGCCGCGCCCAAAAAUCAGCCCCCGAAGGUCGGGGUCCCAAGACCCCCCAGCGGAAAAAUGCCCAAAAAAAGGGUGGGCUAUAGCCUUGGUGGGGGGCGUGGGCGACGUUCGUCCGCGGGACUCGGAAUGGCCCCAGACUUGGCGGGCGGCCUCCGUGCGCCAAAAAUAGGCCACGGGCACAGCCGCGCCCAAAAAUCAGCCCCCGAAGGUCGGGGUCCCAAGACCCCCCAGCGGAAAAAUGGCCAAAAAAAGGGUGGGCUAUAGCCUUGGUGGGGGGCGUGGGCGACGUUCGUCCGCGGGACUCGGAAUGGCACCAUACUUGGCGGGCGGCCUCCGUGCGCCAAAAAUAGGCCACGGGCACAGCCGCGCCCAAAAAUCAGCCCCCGAAGGUCGGGGUCCCAAGACCCCCCAGCGGAAAAAUGGCCAAAAAAAGGGUGGGCUAUAGCCUUGGUGGGGGGAGUGGGCGACGUUCGUCCGCGGGACUCGGAAUGGCCCCAGACUUGGCGGGCGGCCUCCGGGGGCCAAAAAUAGGCCGCGGGCACAGCCGCGCCCAAAAAUCAGCCCCCGAAGGUCGGGGUGCCAGCACCCCCCUGCGGAAAAAUGGCGAAAAAACGGGUGGGCUAUAGCCUUGGUGGGGGGCGUGGGCGAAGUUCGUCAGCCGGACUCGGAAUGGCCCCAGACUUGGCGGGCGGCCUCCGUGCGCCAAAAAUAGGCCACAGGCACAGCCGCGCCCAAAAAUCAGCCCCCGAAGGUCGGGGUGCCAGCACCCCCCAGCGGAAAAAUGGCCAAAAAACGGGUGGGCUAUAGCCUUGGUGGGGGGCGUGGGCGAAGUUCGUCCGCCGGACUCGGAAUGGCCCCAGACUUGGCGCGCGGCCUCCGUGCGCCAAAAUUAGGCCACGGGCACAGCCGCGUCCAAAACGCAGCCCCCGAUGGUCGGGGUGCCAAGGCCCCCCAGCGGAAAAAUAGCCAAAAAACGGGUGGGCUAUAGCCUUGGUGGGGGGCGUGGGCGAAGGUCGUCCGCCGGACUCGGAAUGGCCCCAGACUUUGAGGGGGCCUCCGUGCGCCAAAAAUAGGCCACGGGCACAGCCGCGCCCAAAAAUCAGCCCCCGAAGGUCGGGGUACCAGCACCCCCCUGCGGAAAAAUAUCCAAAAAACGGGUGGGCUAUAGCCUUGGUGGGGGGCCUGGGCGAAGUUCGUCCGCCGGACUCGGAAUGGCCCCAGACUUGGCGGGCAGCCUCCGUGCGCCAAAAAUAGGCCAAGGGCACAGCCGCGCCCAAAAAUCAGCCCCCGAAGGUCGGGGUGCCAGCACCCCCCGGCGGAAAAAUGGCCAAAAAACGAGUGGGCUAUAGCCUUGGUGGGGGGCGUGGGCGAAGUUCGUCCGCCGGAAUCGGAAUGGCCCCAGACUUAGCGGGCGGCCUCCGUGCGCCAAAAAUAGGCCACGGGCACAGCCGCGCCCAAAAAUCAGCCCCCGAAGGUCGGGGUGCCAGCACCCCCCAGCGGAAAAAUGGCCAAAAAAUUGGUGGGCUAUAGCCUUGGUUAGGGGCGUGGGCGAAGUUCGUCCGCCGGACUCGGAAUUGCCCCAGACUUGGCGGGCGGCCUCCGUGCGCCAAAAAUAGGCCACGGGCACAGCCGCGCCCAAAAAUCAGCCCCCGAAGGUCGGGGUGCCAAGACCCCCCAGCGGAAAAAUGGCCAAAAAAUGGGUGGGCUAUAGCCUUGGUGGGGGGCGUGGGCGAAGUUCGUCCGCCGGACUCGGAAUGGCCCCAGACAUGUUGGGCGGCCUCCGUGUGCCAAAAAUAGGCCACGGGCACAGCCGCGCCCAAAACUCAGCCCCCGAUGGUCAGGUUACCAAGGCCCCCCAGCGGAAAAAUAGCCAAAAAACGGGUGGGCUAUAGCCUUGGUGGGGGGCGUGGGCGAAGGUCGUCCGCCGGACUCGGAAUGGCCCCAGACUUUGCGGGCGGCCUCCGUGCGCCAAAAAUAGGCCACGGGCACAGCCGCGCCCAAAAAUCAGCCCCCGAAGGUCGGG
rnacentral:lncRNA from 1 species